UUUUGGGAUAAAACCUUAAAACAAAAGAACUACCACCCUUUAAAAUAAAAAAUAAAAUAGUUACUCUAGGGAUAACAGCACAAUAAAAGCUAAGAGAACUCAUCUACCCUUUAGAUUGUGACCUCGAUGUUGAAUCAAGAAUUACUGGUUGUAGAAGACCAGCAAGUUUCGUCUGUUCGACGAUACAUAAAUACGUG
rnacentral:rRNA from 1 species